UUCUAGAGUACAAAUGAAUAUUCUCUCACAAGAUAUUCAUCAUAAAUCUCAAUCAUCCUUGUUUAGUUUUCAGAGAUUGAAUAAUUUAAAAAGAGCAAAUUAAAAUUAAAAAUAAAAACAUAUAUAAUCCCGAUUGUUUUUAUCAACAACGAAACAAAUAGAUAAAUAAAAAAACACAAAUAAAUAAAUAAAUAAACAGACAAAAACCGAAAAUAUAAUAAAAACAAUGAAACUUAUAAGAAUAACAAACUUCUUAAAAUAACCGAUAAUUAAAAUACAAUAAAUAAUCAGAUAUUAUGUAAACAUCGGGGAAUUAGCUCAGCUGGGAGAGCGCCUGCUUUGCACGCAGGAGGUCAGCGGUUCGAUCCCGCUAUUCUCCACCACUUAUUAUUUUAUUCUGAUUUUCUAAAAAUUAAGCUUUACGCUUUAAUAAAAAUAGAAAAUCUAUAACAAAAAGAUAUAUAAAGAGGGCCUGUAGCUCAGCCGGUUAGAGUGCACCCCUGAUAAGGGUGAGGUCAUAAGUUCAAGUCUUAUCAGGCCCACCAGUUGAUUAUAUUGAAAAGAUAAAUCACACUAAUUUCAUAAUUCUCACAAUAUUUCAUUAAAUUUAUCCUGUUUAUAUAUUUUUUAAGACAAAAAUAUUAAUUAAAUGAUUUUAUGCUUAAUUGUGACUAAAUUUUAACUUAUAAUGGUUUCUAUAUAAAUUUAUAUGUUUGAAGUAUCACUAAAAUUUUUUAUUUAUGAUUUUUGCUAUCUGUAAACUCAUUUUUGCAGUAUUGAACUUUAUUUAGCAUAAUUGAUUCAAUAAGCUAUUAGUAGAUGCUUUCAAUAGCAUUUAUUGUUUUUUUUACAUAGAAAUGCGGUUUAUACACAGAACUAAUCUUUGUAUGGUUCUAUAAUAUUUAUUCAUACUCAUUACUAAUUUUUACUAAACAUUAAAUUUUUAUUAGUUACUAAUAUGUUUUAUUUGAUUUUGAGACAUUUCAUAGUAUUUUUUAAUUUUUUAAAAUAAGAAUUUUGGCUACUAAGCACCUAAAUUUAUUCCAAAAUCAUUAAAUUUAUCUAAUAAUUCUUAUUUUUGCAAUAAAAAUAUUUCCUCUAAAGAACUAAUAGAAAGAUUUAAUAAAUUAAAUAAAGAUACAAAUGUAGAUAAUAUGUUAAAGUGUAAAAAAUGUAA
rnacentral:tRNA from 1 species